CGUUCACACACACUCCUGUCUGCACGGCCAAAGCAGGAACGGACUGACAAGGAAAAAAGGACAAAGAGUGGGAGACGCGGAGACAUUGCGAGAGAGACGGGAGAUGGGAUGGGGACUGUGAAGGUCAACUUUUAGAGUGUGACAUUGAAGAGCGUGAAGAACAAGAGGGAGAGGAAAAGGAGUAAAAACUGUUGUCUCAGAGGGGCAAUUCAGCAGUUCCUGCAACCUGUUGAUCAGGACGGGACGUUCACACAGAGUCGGAGUAAAAGUCUGCCUGCUGUUCAAAUGUACUGUGUUGUUGGCACUGGAAUAUUGCCCCGUUAUGAGGUCUGCCACUGUGGACCGGCUCCAUUACAAAGGUCAGAUGAAUACAGUGCCAUUGAAUGGGAUGGUUUCAUUCCUCGCUGCCUAACUCGCUUGUUAAUUUAAAGGUUAUGUACCACCCCCCCGUUUGAGUGAUUUCAGGCAUAAUUGUUUCGCCUCCACCUGUUUCCAUACAGCUUUCUGCUUAUACAGUAUGUUUGUCAUCUGUCUGCCCAUGUGUGUCAUCUGCCUGUCGUCAUGUCUGUCAGUCUGUGUGCCUCUCCUUGGGGUGUUGCUGGCAGCACGGAGCGCUAAGUGAGGUCAUAAAAAGCCUGAGAGGCGUAAUGGCAGUGUUGAAGCAAGGCCGGAGCCGCUCAAACAUUCCUCUCAUUGUUCAGGGGCCCCGUAAGUCUGCGAGCUCCCAAACCUCCAUGAAAGGAAGGGAAUCCAGUGGCUACUGUAGCUAACCCACUUUGAGCUGCAUUUCAGGGCUGGCUCUCUGUCUUCCUGUUUGCCGUCCUGUCUGGUGUGUGUGUGUGUGUGUGUGUGUGUCGGGGGUGUUGGUAUAGACCAAACUGAGUAGCGGAAGGCAAAAAUGGAACUGAAGGAGGUAAAAGUGAGGUUGACCUAAAGAAGAAGGAUAAGAUAAAGUGGUAUUAAUUUAGCCCCGAAAGUGGCGUCUAUCACUUUGCUCCGUAUGCGUCUGGCUGUGACUUCAGAUAACCUCCAUGCCAAAUGACAUGGGAAAGAGAAGGCACGGGUCAAAUGUGUUGUUAUUUUGCCUUCUGCUUUGAGAAGGUGGAAAAAUGGGGUGAUGGAUGGAUGGUGAGAAAGGAUGGGAGGAGCAGAAGAAUGUGGGGAUCUAACCCUCAAGCCUUGGCUUUGGUGGGGUGGUUUGAGUGGGUGGGUGUGCCCGGCAGCAAUCUGUAGGAAUGGGCCCAGGCUCAGGAAACCGUGGCGUAGUGGAAUAAAAGUGUGUGUGUGUGUGUGUGUGCAGCUUCAGCAUCCACUUGUGCAUGUGUGGUUCAGUGGCAGCAGGGCAGCUGUACUCUAAGUACAGGGCUGGUGGUGGUGGUAAGGGUGUUUGGCAAUGAAUCAGGCUGAGGAUAGGAUUACACGCACUGGGCUACAGGGAGUGGACCACGGGCUUGGGCUGGGCUCUUCACUGCUGAGGCUAGCUUUACAGCCCAAAGAGACUUUGAGCUUUUCCCUUUAAAAAAAAAAAGGAGUUGGAAAUACUUCUUUUUUACUUCUCAGACUAAUGUCCCACAUGUGGCGCGUUCCAUUGAUUCCAGGCCAGCCAAUGAACGGUCGCCUUUAAUUUGGGAAAACUGCAACAUAGAAGGCCCAUAGUAGAGGCCUGGGCUCUUGUUUGAAUGUCACUAAAUGUCACAGCCUCAGCAAUGAUUACACCCUCGCACGUAACAUGAAACAAAUACAAUCACAUGCGCACACAUACCCAGACAGACCCUGUCUGGUAGAAAGCAAGUUAAGGUGUGGUGCUGCGUUGUGUUUUAGUUGGCGGGCUUUGCCGUUUCGACUGCAGUUUUGUUGAUCCUGUGGUUGAUUUUCUGGCGGAUUAAAAAUGCAGCCUUGAAUCUGGAUAAUUUUUUUUCUUUUGAUGUGUCAGCUGCUCGCUCCUCAUCAUUUAACCGUUUUUAGGCUUUUCCACCUUUUCUUCCCAGGAGUGAGUUUAAUAGGCGCAACAGAGAAGAUAGCAAUUAUGGAAAGCAGACGUGGCAAAUUUACACCGUAAGAAGGGAAUUAACAUGUUACUGUAACAAUUGUGACUUCAUGUCUUGAACUUAUAGCAUUUACAGAGAAAGAUGAAGCUGUGGCUGGAAACAGCUUCAUCUGGCCCCUGUGAAAAUCAGUGGAAACAUAAAUGACUUGUGCUCGGCUUUGAGAAACAAUUCUUAAUGACAUGCACGAGCCUGGGAAUCGUACUGCUCACUGUUUGUUCUGUUAAGCGGUCCACAGCCUGGAGGUGCGAAUGAUGUCAGCUUGGUAUUUUUACUAUUCACAGUUUAUGAGAAAGAGUGAAAACCAGCUUACGCGAACCACACGUUUGCCACUGACAUCACUGUGUUUGCUCAGUGAUAGUGAACAUAUUGCGUGUGUGUGUGGAGAGUUUGGUAGAUUGCGCUUGGCCUGCGGAGCGUGUGUGCAUUUCUGUGCAAUGCGCACACAAGGACACGGGCAGAGAGAAGAUAUGUGUUGAAACAACAAGGGUUUGAGAUCCAGCUGUCCCAGCAGAGGCUUUUCCACUUAACUGUGUGCCCUUGUGUAAACGGCAAUGUCAAUUCUGAACUCGAGCCGACGAUCUGAGAAAACAGCCAGUGGCCACGUCUGCACUUGGGCCGCCAUACGUCAUGUGCAUGAACAAUAAACACACAUACACACCACGAAACCAUCAAAGAACCCACACAUGAGGCCAUAAUCCACGAAGACAUGCUCUCUAAAAACACUUUAAUUUCACUAGAAUACAUCUGCUGGCAGGCGUCACUCGGUGAUGCUCAUUUUCCAACCCUACGCCUCCGUCGAGGUGCAACAAGUUGCCACGGUUGCGAGCUACCAGUAAGAUGCAGCCUAUAUGCCACAUACUUGUUAUUUCUAAUGAUAAUAAACAUCCAGUAUGAGAAGCCAGUAGCAGGAGGGCCGCCUGUAUCCUCCCCCCAAAAAAAACAAAAAAACAAGGCGAAUGUGAGAUCCUCGCAGAGAGUGUUUGAGGUGAGGUGUUGGACAGCGUGCGUCAACCAGAAUGCCGUCAUUACAGGGGAAGGAAUGAGCUCAUGGACAUUAACGGGCUGCGGGUUUGAGUGGGGGGGGGGAGCGAGAAACCGAUGGAAACGAUGAAAAGGCAGAGAAAAUAACACACCAGGAUGAAAAGAGAUGGCGGUAUAAAGGGUUUAAGGUUAAAGGCGGGUAGGAGGUAAAGGGAGCAGUUGUCGUGUCUUUGAUGGAUGCCAAGACCUUAAUUUACCUUCUUUCUUGACAGCAUCUUGUUGUGACCGUGUGGAGACCGGCCUAGGCUUUAAAAAGCGCAACUCGUAAAACAGAAAGGAAAUUAAGAAGACGUACAACUGGGAUCUAAAACGGGCCGCACUGGGUACAUUUUUAUGUUGACAUUUUGGUUUUCUGUUAACCGAGCGAUUAAAAAAACUGUCCCGAAGGCAAUGUAAAUGUACACUUUAGUUUACUGUAGAGUCAAAAAAGUUGAUUUUGAAAGUUAGCGAGAACAGACAAUGCUAUUCUGUUUUCUUCCCAGUAGCACCCAAACACUGAACCUCACUUUGGCCUGGUGAAAACUGGAAAGCUUCCACAUGAGAUGCUGCUUUUAGCUCAAAACGAUGCUCACAACUGGGCUGGAAAAAGUUUGCGUUCUAUUUAUGGAAGCUCUGUCUAAACACUAGAUUUGUGAAACAGAGGUGCCCGCUUUAGUGAUAACAUUUCCCGGCCACUGCCCCAAAGAGACAACAGACAGCCAGCUAAAGCUUAUUUAGAGUCUGGAGUUCCCACUGACUCAUACCUUGUACACAGCAAAAUAUUCAAGCUGCUGAAAAUAAGAGCAACUCAAAGGAGGGCGGCAAAAUGAGCGGAUCAGCCGGGAUCUGGAGACUGGAACGGUGUUCAUUAAAUAAAGUUUAUCCUGUCCAGACAAGUGAAAUUCAACCAAAAGAAAUUCACAGCAUUAUGUUGUGCUCCGGGGCGGGAUGGCUGUGUGUGCUUCUCUUCUUCUCCUUUUUUUUUCUUUUAAGGAAUACGCAGGAUCAGACUUUAUGUUUUCACAAUGUAUAAAAGCAAAGGUUCUCUAUGCAACAUGAAAAUCCCUAACAAUUUCUUAAGAGAUUUUGCUGUAACUUAGCAGCAGAGGAAACAUGCUCCAGUGCUCUUUUUCUCAUUUUGUUUUGUCUUUGGUUUUCCCCUGUUCACAAGGGGCACAGAUAAAGGGUGCAGGGUAAGCGUCUGUUAAAGGCAGUGCCAUUCGAGUGGCCACUUCCUUCUAACCUAAUUCUCCAUUCUGUCAUUGAAAAGCUAUUUUUAUAAGAGGCCACAGGAAGUCUGGGAGUUGACAAGGACCACGUACAGUGCACACAGGGUUGAGAAAAUGCAGUGACUGACCUGCGAAUGACAAACAUGUGACAGAGCCAGACUGCUCUCUAUGUGUAUUGGGGGGGUUAAAGAAGAAGGGAGCUGCUGCUUAAAAAGGUGACAGUGAUGCUCGAGUCUUAUUGUGGUAUUUAUUACUGCGCAUGCUUUGAAGUCUUCUUUCCACCACAGACCGUCCAGCUCUAUCUGUUGGCCAGGGGAAUUCCUGGCAGAGUGAUUUUUUUUAAACUAGAGGACUGAAUCACAUUGCCAGGGAUUUCCAAUGGCUGACACGAAGAAAGCAGCCUCUUCGUCGCACGCGCGCCAAUUUGCCAACUCAUACACAGUCACUCAUUUGCAUACACACAUAGAAACGUCUCCUUUCUGUGUCACAAACAGAUGCCCGUCGAAGCCUGGCUGUGCGGCAGCAGGACUUAACCCACAUGUGAACAGUGAGUGUCUGCCAUGUUCACAGUGGUUAAGUUCUGCCGCCACAGGGCUGCAGCCUGCAGGGGACAAGGGAGAGGAGUAAAGGUCAGGGAGGGGCCGCACUGCAUCAAAAACACCACUCUCCACAUCAACACCAGGCUUCACAUGAGCAUGAUCUCGUCCCAUGACUAUAUCCUCCCAACAAAAAUCUGCUUUUUUAUAUAAAAUGUGGAUCUAGCCGCCUGUUCGAUGAUUUACUUAAGAACCUGUGACCUUCUUUGGCACUUGAACCCAACAACAACAAAGCAAAAAAGAUCUUUAUCUGUCACACCAUCGCCCAUUUUUUUCUGUUAUCUCAUCGCUGCCCUGCUUUCUCAAGCGGUUUAUAGAAACUUGAGCAGCAAACUCAGUGAGUCUAUUUUUCCUUAAAGGAAGCUUUUCAGGAAGUCUGCCACACAAACCCGGCACCCAUCAAAGGAAGUGUCAAAAAAGCCAAUUUCACCUAAAUGACAGCAAAUGCUGUGCCAUACUGCAAAUUUUGGUAUCGAUCCGAUACCAAAAUACAGAGCCAGAAUUAUCAAUGCUGCUACUUUUAACUGAUAAAUGCAGCUUAUGUAGGGGAGUGUGUCAUGACUUAUGAGAUGAAUUACCACAAUAAUUACUCAGUACAACAAAUCAGCGUUUCAUGUGGCUGUCUCUAAAGCACUCUGGAUCAGCUUCUGUCCUUUAAAUGUGCUACGUACUGAACAUAAGGAUAGAAGAGUAUCGGUCCAAUUGUGCUAGUAUCCAUCUGAUACCAACACCAGUAUUGGUAUCGAUACUAUCAAUAUUUGAAUCGAUCCACUGCCCGCUACUAGAAAGCAUCACGUUGCCGGUAACGAGGCAAAUACGUCCUACUCCUCAACAGCCAGAUUGAUCCUUUGACUUUAUUUUUACGAGCUUUCCUGAUCGUUGCUAAAUUGACAACAUGUGUCGGAGGCUGUGUGUGUGCACGCGCGUGCGGGAGUACUCCAUGGAUGACUCAGUAGUGUUACGAGUCGGCACUGUGAUGUGGCUGAUGUGAUGUGAUGAGCGAGUGCCUGGCAAAAACAGCUAAUCUGGUGAAUUAGCCGAAAUUGUUCGGUCUCAGUGUGUCAGAGCCUGAUAAAUGUCAGGCGUCUCAUUAGUGUCGAAGGCUGCUCCCGUUCCUGUUGGGCGGGCAAUAUGUCAUCUUGUGUUGUCGGGUGUAUUGCUGGCUGCCAGGCUCUCUCUGGUGUGUGUGUGUGUGUGUGUGUGUGUGUGUUUAGUUUCACUUCUACCUGUUGAUUUCUGCAUGAGCAUCAGUGUCUGUUUGGCUCGUUGUUGUGUGUCUGUGUUUAUGUGUGUGUGACCACCUCUGUCCCCUCCUCCUCACCCCCCCGCUGGGUCGGUCUCCUGUGCCUGCUGUGCUGAUAAUCAGUGUGUGACGUCGGCUGGCUCAGUUCAGCAGGAACAGGGGACUGUUCUCAUUUCCACACUCUUUCUCUCUCACACACACACAAACACACACACACACUUUAAUGUCAGUUUAAUAACAACAUUAACACCAGCGUGUUUUCUUUAGUUAUGCAGCUCUUUUUCAUGACAUACACAGACCUUUAAAAGCAUAUAACCAUAAAAGCUUAUAAUGUAUUAUAAAUGUUAGAAAUUUUUUAAACUGUAUUUUUAGGGUUUCUUUCUUUGUUUUUUGUACCGUGAUCUAUGAAAAUGAAAAAAUAUAUCAAUUAAUUAAGUCUGUUUAAGUAUAUUUGAAUCUUUUUUGGAAAAAUAAAACUUGUUUUGGAAAAAAAA